rnacentral:rRNA from 1 species
GAGUUUGAUCCUGGCUCAGAACGAACGCUGGCGGCGUGGAUAAGACAUGCAAGUCGAACGGGAGAAUUGCUAGCUUGCUAAUAAUUCUCUAGUGGCGCACGGGUGAGUAACACGUGAGUAACCUGCCCCCGAGAGCGGGAUAGCCCUGGGAAACUGGGAUUAAUACCGCAUAGUAUCGAAAGAUUAAAGCAGCAAUGCGCUUGGGGAUGGGCUCGCGGCCUAUUAGUUAGUUGGUGAGGUAACGGCUCACCAAGGCGAUGACGGGUAGCCGGUCUGAGAGGAUGUCCGGCCACACUGGAACUGAGACACGGUCCAGACACCUACGGGUGGCAGCAGUCGAGAAUCAUUCACAAUGGGGGAAACCCUGAUGGUGCGACGCCGCGUGGGGGAAUGAAGGUCUUCGGAUUGUAAACCCCUGUCAUGUGGGAGCAAAUUAAAAAGAUAGUACCACAAGAGGAAGAGACGGCUAACUCUGUGCCAGCAGCCGCCGU